GGCGCACGGGUGAGUAACGCGUGGGUAAUCUACCCUUGGGUCUGGGACAACUCCGGGAAACUGGAGCUAAUACCGGAUAAGACCACGGAGUCUUCGGUCUCUGCGGAAAAAGAUGGCCUCUUCUCGAAAGCUAUCGCCCAUCGAUGAGCCCGCGUACCAUUAGCUUGUUGGUGAGGUAAAGGCUCACCAAGGCGACGAUGGUUAGCUGGUCUGAGAGGAUGAUCAGCCACACCGGAACUGAGACACGGUCCAGACUCCUACGGGAGGCAGCAGUCGGGAAUCUUGGGCAAUGGGCGAAAGCCUGACCCAGCAACGCCGCGUGAGGGAUGAAGGCCCUCGGGUCGUAAACCUCUGUCGGGAGGGAAGAAAGGCACCCGGUCGAAUAGGCCGGGUGAUUGACGGUACCUCCAAAGGAAGCGCCGGCUAACUCCGUGCCAGCAGCCGCGGUAAUACGGAGGGCGCAAGCGUUGUUCGGAAUCAUUGGGCGUAAAGCGCGUGUAGGUGGCUUGGAAAGUUGGGUGUGAAAGCCCGGGGCCCAACCCCGGAAUUGCACUCAAAACUCCCUCGCUAGAGUCCC
rnacentral:rRNA from 1 species